rnacentral:rRNA from 1 species
CCUACGGGAGGCAGCAGUGGGGAAUAUUGGGCAAUGGACGCAAGUCUGACCCAGCAACGCCGCGUGAAGGAAGAAGGCUUUCGGGUUGUAAACUUCUGUUAAGGGGGAAGAGUAGAAGACGGUACCACUUGAAUAAGCCACGGCUAACUACGUGCGAGCAGCCGCGGUAAUACGUAGGUGGCAAGCGUUGUCCGGAUUUACUGGGUGUAAAGGGCGUGCAGCCGGAGAGACAAGUCAGAUGUGAAAUCCGCGGGCUCAACCCGCGAACUGCAUUUGAAACUGUUUCCCUUGAGUAUCGGAGAGGUGAUUGGAAUUCCUGGUGUAGCGGUGAAAUGCGUAGAUAUUAGGAAGAACACCAGUGGCGAAGGCGGAUGACUGGACGACAACUGACGGUGAGGCGCGAAAGCGUGGGGAGCAAACAGGAUUAGAUACCCGGGUAGUC